rnacentral:rRNA from 1 species
UACGUAGGGGGCAAGCGUUGUCCGGAAUCAUUUGGGCGUAAAGAGCGUGUAGGCGGCCCGAUAAGUCCGCUGUGAAAGUCCAGGGCUCAACCCUGGAAUGCCGGUGGAUACUGUCGGGCUCGAAUCCGGAAGAGGUGAGUGGAAUUCCUGGUGUAGCGGUGAAAUGCGCAGAUAUCAGGAGGAACACCAUGGCGAAGGCGCUCUGGGACGUACUU